GUUACACUCCUCUGGCCACUCACCGAGUAGACACCCCAGGUCAACUUCCCAUGCGUCAGACCCCAUACCGCAUCCCAGAAGCGGUUAGGGAGAACAUGCGCAAGGAGAUUGAUGAGAUGCUCCAGCUGGGGGUGAUUGAACCCUCCGACAGCCCCUGGGCUUCCCCGGUAGUGCUAGUACCAAAACGGGACGGAACGACCCGUUUUUGUGUAGACUACCGGAGACUGAAUGAGAAGACAGUAUCUGACGCUUAUCCCAUGCCCAGGAUAGACGAACUCCUGGACCAGAUGGCGAGGGGGCACUAUCUCACCCCUACUGACUUGUGUAAGGGGUAUUGGCAAAUUCCCUUAGCACAAGUCGCCUUCCCUAAGUCGGCCUUUGUCACCCCAUUCGGCUUGUACCAAUUUAAGGUCAUGCCGUUUGGGAUGAAAAACGCCCCGGCUACAUUUCAGCGGAUGGUGGACCGCCUCCUGGAUGGGUUCCAAGAUUAUACCUGUGCUUACCUGGCAGGAACACUUGACCCAUAUAGGAGCGGUCCUGGACAGGAUUAGGGCCGCUGGUUUAACGCUGAAACCAGCCAAGUG